rnacentral:rRNA from 1 species
AUUGAACGCUGGCGGCAUGCUUUACACAUGCAAGUCGAACGGUAACAGGGUGCUUGCACCGCUGACGAGUGGCGAACGGGUGAGUAAUGCGUCGGAACGUGCCGAGUAGUGGGGGAUAACGCAGCGAAAGUUGUGCUAAUACCGCAUACGUACUGAGGUAGAAAGUGGGGGACCUUCGGGCCUCACGCUAUUCGAGCGGCCGACGUCUGAUUAGCUAGUAGGUGAGGUAAAGGCUCACCUAGGCGACGAUCAGUAGCGGGUCUGAGAGGAUGAUCCGCCACACUGGGACUGAGACACGGCCCAGGCUCCUACGGGAGGCAGCAGUGGGGAAUUUUGGACAAUGGGCGAAAGCCUGAUCCAGCCAUGCCGCGUGUCUGAAGAAGGCCUUCGGGUUGUAAAGGACUUUUGUCAGGGAGGAAAUCCCUAGUGCUAAUAACACUGGGGGAUGACAGUACCUGAAGAAUAAGCACCGGCUAACUACGUGCCAGCAGCCGCCGUAAAAC